UGCCUGACGGCAAUAGCGCUGUGGAACCACCUGAUCCCAUGCCGAACUCAGAAGUGAAACGCGGUAGCGCCGAUGGUAGUGUGGCAUUCGCCAUGCGAGAGUAGGACACUGUCAGGC
rnacentral:rRNA from 1 species